UGUGGGAACACUUAUUCUUUAUUUAUGCCUUCAAGGCAUUUAGUAUAAACUCAGCUCUUUCCUCUAUUUGAAACAGAUAACAUUUGUGCUUUAUUUUGAAUCUACAAGAAUGGCCUGAAGCAAAACUCUCUGUCCUGUAAAUUUUAAGCUGUCUCUGAAAUCUCAAGUACUAAAGAACUCAGAUGAAUGGAACACAGAAGGGAGAAACUGAGCCAAGGUGACUUACAAGCAACACUGGAAAUGGAUUAGGAAGUGCUGCCUUACCUGCUAUUAGUUAUGUUUUUAGUCACUUAUUGACAGCGUCAAGUCACACAUUCAGAUUUGAAGAGGGCCUCAGAAUUAAGGACCAAACACAGAGGGUCUGGGUGAGAAUAUAAACCUGGAGCACAGUUAUUAUCUCAAUAAAAUAUGUGCAAAAUUAUCCUGAAUACCAC
rnacentral:lncRNA from 1 species